rnacentral:rRNA from 1 species
GAACGCUGGCGGCAUGCCUUACACAUGCAAGUCGAACGGCAGCACGGGUGCUUGCACCUGGUGGCGAGUGGCGAACGGGUGAGUAAUACAUCGGAACGUACCUUAUCGUGGGGGAUAACGCAGCGAAAGCUGUGCUAAUACCGCAUACGCCCUGAGGGGGAAAGCGGGGGAUCGAAAGACCUCGCGCGAUUAGAUGAGCCUAGGUCGGAUUAGCUAGUUGGUGAGGUAAUGGCUCACCAAGGCGACGAUCCGUAACUGGUCUGAGAGGAUGAUCAGUCACACUGGAACUGAGACACGGCCCAGACUCCUACGGGAGGCAGCAGUGGGGAAUUUUGGACAAUGGGCGCAAGCCUGAUCCAGCCAUGCCGCGUGCGGGAAGAAGGCCUUCGGGUUGUAAACCGCUUUUGUCAGGGAAGAAAUCUUCUGGGCUAAUACCUCGGGAGGAUGACGGUACCUGAAGAAUAAGCACCGGCUAACUACGUG